ACGCGCUGCAGAGACUCGGAAAAGUGAACAUGCUUCACUAAAUGAUGUUGCUCAUGGUCUUCUCCACUAUCCUCCACUUUGACAUCGUUUGAUUCUGGUCUUUCAACAUCUGCUAGGACUUGAGGCUCCAGAAGGGGCUUCUGAACUUCAUUUCCAUCGUUUGAUUCUGGACUUUCAACAUCUGCCUCGACUUGAGGCUCCAGAAGGGGCUUCCGAACUUCAUUUCCACCCUCUAAAUCUACAUUAGAAAAAGGCGAAUCCCCCUUGAAAGGCAUUCUGUAAGAGAAAUUGACUUCAGCCUGUUCUUGACGUCUGU
rnacentral:lncRNA from 1 species